UUCGUUGUAGUCUAGUUGGUUAGGACACUCGGCUCUCACCCGAGAGACUCGGGUUCAAACUCCCGGCAACUGGA
rnacentral:tRNA from 1 species